UACGAAGGGGGCGAGCGUUGUUCGGAAUUACUGGGCGUAAAGGGCGCGUAGGCGGCGAACCAAGUCAGAUGUGAAAGUCCUGGGCUUAACCUGAGGACUGCAUUUGAUACUGGUUUGCUUGAAUUCGGGAGAGGAUAGCGGAAUUCCCAGUGUAGAGGUGAAAUUCGUAGAUAUUGGGAAGAACACCGGUGGCGAAGGCGGCUAUCUGGACCGACAUUGACGCUGAGGCGCGAAAGCGUGGGGGAGCAAACAGGGAUUAAGAAACCC
rnacentral:rRNA from 1 species